GUCCACGCCGUAAACGUUGGGCACUAGGUGUGGGGUUCUAUCGACGGACUCCGUGCCGUAGCUAACGCAUUAAGUGCCCCGCCUGGGGAGUACGGCCGCAAGGCUAAAACUCAAAGGAAUUGACGGGGGCCCGCACAAGCGGCGGAGCAUGUGGCUUAAUUCGAUGCAACGCGAAGAACCUUACCUGGGUUUUACAUGUAGGGAAAAGCCGUAGAGAUACGGUGUCCUUCGGGUCCGUACACAGGUGGUGCAUGGCUGUCGU
rnacentral:rRNA from 1 species